GAUGAACGCUGGCGGCGUGCUUAACACAUGCAAGUCGAACGGGAAACCUUUUACUGAAGCUUCGGCAGAUUUAGCUGGUUUCUAGUGGCGGACGGGUGAGUAACGCGUGGGUAACCUGCCUUAUACAGGGGGAUAACAGUCAGAAAUGACUGCUAAUACCGCAUAAGCGCACAGGACCGCAUGGUCCGGUGUGAAAAACUCCGGUGGUAUAAGAUGGACCCGCGUUGGAUUAGCUUGUUGGUGGGGUAACGGCUCACCAAGGCGACGAUCCAUAGCCGGCCUGAGAGGGUGAACGGCCACAUUGGGACUGAGACACGGCCCAGACUCCUACGGGAGGCAGCAGUGGGGAAUAUUGCACAAUGGGGGAAACCCUGAUGCAGCGACGCCGCGUGAAGGAAGAAGUAUCUCGGUAUGUAAACUUCUAUCAGCAGGGAAGAUAGUGACGGUACCUGACGAAGAAGCCCCGGCUAACUACGUG
rnacentral:rRNA from 1 species